rnacentral:rRNA from 1 species
UACGGAGGGUGCGAGCGUUGUCCGGAAUCAUUGGGCGUAAAGGGCGCGUAGGUGGCGGGACAAGCGUGCGGUGAAAGCCUGGGGCUCAACCCCGGGUCGGCCGUGCGAACUGUUUUGCUUGAGCACUGUAGAGGCAGGCGGAAUUCCGGGUGUAGCGGUGGAAUGCGUAGAGAUCCGGAAGAACACCGGUGGCGAAGGCGGCCUGCUGGGCCGAAAUUGACGCUGAGGAGCGAAAGCGUGGGGAGCAAACAGG